GCAAGACCCUCCGACGCUCAAGUCAGUUCUCUGCCUCAACAAGAAUGGAGUGCUCGAACGGAGAAUUUAGCAGAGUUUUUAGAUAAAAGAUGAGAGCUUAUAGAAUAACGUAUCUGGAGCCCCCUUUUAUAGGCGGAGGGGGCAGUAGCCUGACAGCGACAUCUGUAACCGUCUGGCAGUGGGCUGCCCAGGGUCAGGCGGAGUUUGCUGCGAAGAGUAGUGGAGUGGACCCGUGGCUAUCACCGGGGUGUGCCACGUGGAGUCAGUUACGGGGAGUGGAGCGGCGUUCGCUGUCGCGACUCGUCAUGGAGUGGUGGGAUCGCACAGGAUCCGCCGUAGGGAGUGGAGUAGAAUCGUGGCCGUUAAUACGGCCUGUCAGGG
rnacentral:lncRNA from 1 species